GGCUAAACAAACUAUGAACGCACACCUUCUGGAGUCACCCCGCAUUUAGCCUCUCGUCAGCAUUAGAGCCUAUACCUUGGCAAGGUACAGUACAGUCCUGCUAAACGAACAGCAWAGAGUAUAGACAAAUUAAGGACAAUAUAUAACUUUCGACAACAAACAUUUUAAGAUGAAGCGGCUUUUCUCGUGUUUGGUCUUGGCUACUGUUUUUAUCGCUUGGUCCCUAGCCACUGAAGAAGUGUCAGGAAAAUCCGCUGUAUUUAGAAGAUCAACUGAUCAAUGUUACUGGCAAUGUCGCAUUCUAAAGACCAAGUGUUUGGACGAUUGCGACCCAGGCGAUCAUGAAUGUCGUUCAGUGUGCAAAGCUAAAUAUGGUUUUAACUUUUGUCAAAAACCCUGUAAGCAGAACGGUGGUAAAGUUCCUAAUUUUGAAGAAGAAGAAGAUUAAAAUGAACCUAUUAUA